rnacentral:rRNA from 1 species
CAGUAGCCACGGUAAAACGAAGGGGGCUAGCGUUGCUCGGAAUCACUGGGCGUAAAGGGUGCGUAGGCGGGUCUCUAAGUCAGGGGUGAAAUCCUGGAGCUCAACUCCAGAACUGCCUUCGAUACUGAAGAUCUUGAGUUCGGGAGAGGUGAGUGGAACUGCGAGUGUAGAGGUGAAAUUCGUAGAUAUUUGCAAGAACACCAGUGGCGAAGGCGGCUCACUGGCCCGAUACUGACGCUGAGGCACGAAAGCGUGGGGAGCAAACAGGAUUAGAUACCCCUGUAGUCCCUGUCUCUUAUAC